UGUGCCCGUAGCUCAGUUGGAUAGAGCAACAGCCUUCUAAGCUGUGGGUCGUAGGUUCGAAUCCUACCGGGCACAU
rnacentral:tRNA from 3 species